rnacentral:pre_miRNA from 1 species
AGUUAGGACCUGAUCCAAUGCCCAUUAAAGUUAAUGGGAGACUUUCCAUUGGUUUUAAUAGGUUUUGGAUCAGAUCCUCCAGUU